GACAAACGCCGCUACCGGAAGCACAGCUUUUAAACCGUUGUACGCGCUUUGGCGAACCAAGCCGCAAGUUGGAGGCUUUGGCUGUACCGGCGAGCUAGUAUCAGUUUCUCUCCUAAGUUUCUUCGCAGCAGUGCUGCCUCGCCCUCCCGCGUGGUCCUCAAGGUGUAGGUGAAGUGGUUUGGGUUAUGCAAAUUACAGCGCUGCCUUCGAGGAGCUCAAGGACGCCCAGUUUUGCCGCCCUACGCCCGUGUGCUCCCCAACAAUUUGGCUUUGAAAGCUUUUGUAUUGAAGUUGUACACUGGUGAAAAUCACUGUUAAAGUGUCGAUUGGCUUCCUCCAUCGCGAUUGGGUGUUUACGGGAACUCUUCUGGGCAGGAAUGUGGGCCGAGGAGAUGGCUCAAGAUAACUCAGUAAAGGCACAUGUUUACAAGCCUGAUUACCUGAAUUCUGUCACACUGCAUAAUGGAAGGGGAGGACCCACUCCUGCAAGUUACCCUCUCAUUUCCACACACUCUGUGGCCCAUAAACUCAACACAUAUUAAAUAAAUGUGUUUUUUAAGUCACUUUUAAUAAAAUAGGAAAAUAGGAAACCAAGUGAAGAAAUAUACACUUGAUUCAUAUUAUUAUCCAUACAUUAACUGGAGGUAGUUACAUGGUGUGGGGUGGGGAUGGGGGAUUGUAUUGUUUGCAGUGUUAGGGAGGAACAGGGCCUCACACUUGCUAAGCAAGUGCUCUAAGACUGAGCUAGAACCCCCAACCCCAAGAUCUGUUUUAAAGUGACUCACCCAGAAGGCCAGGAAGCUAAAUUUAUACUUUGUUAUACAAAGCAUGUAUGGAAGCCUAUACCUAUCCUAGGUAUUGUGUGAGUGCUUUCUGUGAAUUAUCCAUGUCAUGAAGUUUAUCAGAGUAAACCUGAGACAAUCGUUACUCAUCUCAUUUUCUGAUGAGAUCAAGGUUGUGUUACAGAUUGGUUGAAGGGCCCAACAGUCAUACAUUCCCACUAGCUGUUAGGAAAAACAGUGCCAUAGACCUGGACACUUGAGAGCACUGGCAGGUCACUUCAGAGGGCAAGGAUAUUGAAAGAAAACAUUUACAUAUAUGAGUGGCAUUUUUGCAGGGUGGGGACACUGCUGGGCAUCAAACUGAGGGCCUCGUGCAUGCUAGGCAAAUGGUCACCACAUUACUCAGGAGAAGUGACAGACAGACACCACAACCUUGCGAUUUGUUUGGUGGGUUUGUUGCUUUUGUUGGUUUUUUUUUUUUUUUUUUUUUUUUUUCCUUAAGAGAAGAUUUCUCUAAGUGGCCCUGGCUGUCCUGGAGCUCACUCUGUAGUCAAGGCUGACUUCAAACUCAGAAGUCUGCCUGCCUCUGCCUCCCGAGUGCUGCUUUGUUUUGUGUGUGUGUGUGUGUGUGUGUGUGUGUGUGUGUGUGUGUGCCUAUGCUGUGUGUUCAGGUGCCUGUAGACGUCAGAAUGAAUUGUUGGGUUCCAGGUGGUUGUGAGCUGAAAGAUGUGGAUGCUGGGAAACAGACCUCAGGUCCUACACUGCAGCAAUAUGAGCUCUUAACUGGCAAGCCAUCUCUCCAGCCCCUUCACUGCCUCAUUACUGGUGUGCCUAAAGGCUCAAUACAGCAAAUUUGCAUCCGCUAAAUCCCUAGAACAAACCUGGACUUGAUUACAGGUCUGCCUCUAACAAAUACAAAAUGCCACGCAGAAAUAGGCUUUUUAACUUUUGUUAGGUAAGAAUACCUUUUUACAUCAUAAAGAAAUUAACUUCUCAGCACUCCAUCUUACAUUUGUACUUUGAGACCACCUAGCAGGUGAGAUCAAGAGCUUUGGAAUUCCCACGAUGUUUUGGUCCUUUGAGAGAUGGGUGUUAUACUCAGUGUCUCUAUUCACCCUACCCCCCUCUUCCUCAGGAAUCUUGGUCUAAAUGCCACUGAAACUAAUGUUAGAGAAGCAAGGAGACAGAGAAUAUUGAUGUCCUGCAGGACGGGACAACUGGUGCCCAACGUGUGGCCGGAUAGAGUUGGGGAUCUGGGAACUUCAGUGCUCAUUAGAGGGACAGGCCCGUCCAUGCAGUGAGGCGUCCACAACAAGGUCGAUCGUGAGCCUCAGUUGGAGGAAGACCCAGCAGCCUGCCCAGCGCUUGGGACUUCAUAGGUUCAUGAGCAUCACCUAUGUGGAAAAGACCCCAAACUCCUCUUCAGAUGUGCAUGAUGCAGAGGUGCACGUGCCACAGCCUUCCCCAUAAGAAGUCAGAAGACCACUCUGGAGCCCGUGCUCAUGCCAUCUUCAUCCGGGUUACAAGGAUUUCACUUAGGUGGCCAGAUUUGCAUGGUGAGCAUCUUUACCCACUGAACCAUCCAUCAUACCAGCCCUGGAUUUUGAUUUUUAUCAAUUCCCCAAAUUUUCCUUUUUUUCCAUUAGUCAUGUAAUCGGAUCACUUCUCCAGUAGUCUUCACUUGUGUGACUUUAGCCUCUACCAUGGUGGUUCUCAACCUGUGGGUAUCAAAUGACCCUUUCACAGGGAUAUCCUAAGACCAUCAGAAAACACAGACUGCCAGUACUGUGAGGAAAGAAGCAGGUAGCAUUUCAUGCUUUCCUCUGGUGAGACUACAGCCUCGGGUCAGCCAUGGCCAUUUAUGUAGUCAGCCAUGCCUGUAAGACCAUGGCCUACAGAAGUCCAGACAAGGUUCAGG
rnacentral:lncRNA from 1 species